GACGAACGCUGGCGGCGUGCUUAACACAUGCAAGUCGAACGGUGAAGCGCCUUCCUUUUUGGUGGGUGUGGAUGAGUGGCGAACGGGUGAGUAACACGUGAGUAACCUGCCCCCUUCUUCUGGAUAACCGCAUGAAAGUGUGGCUAAUACGGGAUAUUCUGGGUCUGUCGCAUGAUGGGUCUGGGAAAGAUAUUGUUUCGGUGGGGGAUGGGCUCGCGGCCUAUCAGCUUGUUGGUGGGGUGAUGGCCUACCGAGGCGGUGACGGGUAGCCGGCCUGAGAGGGUGGACGGUCACACUGGGACUGAGACACGGCCCAGACUCCUACGAGAGGCAGCAGUGGGGAAUAUGGCACAAUGGGCGCAAGCCUGAUGCAGCGACGCCGCGUGAGGGAUGGAGGCCUGCGGGUUGUGAACCUCUUUCGCCAGUGAAGCAGGCCUGCCUCGUUUGUGGGUGGGUUGACGGUAGCUGGAUAAGAAGCGCCGGCUAACUACGUG
rnacentral:rRNA from 1 species